GGGUGCCACGGGCUGACCAAGGAAGAGGGUGUUGCCUGGAUGCUUACCAAAACCUGAAAGACAACCGGACACGUGAAGUUUCCCCUUUUUUUGAAAGGAAAGAAAACAGGUACAGACUUCACAACGUCCUUGGUUCUUCACAGUCAAAAGAGAAAAAUAGUAACUUCCUAUUCAAGAAGGAGAAACUGUGGCACUUCAUUUGAAAUUACAGUGUCAUCCAAUUCAGU
rnacentral:lncRNA from 1 species